rnacentral:tRNA from 1 species
GAGGAUAUCGCUCAAGCGGUAGAGUGCAUGCUUAGUGUGCACAAGGUCAUGGGUUCAAUCCCCAGUACCCUCU